CCUACGGGACGCAGCAGUAGGGAAUUUUCGUCAAUGGGCGCAAGCCUGAACGAGCGAUGCCGCGUGAGGGAAGACUGCCCUAUGGGUUGUAAACCUCUUUUAUAAGGGAAGAAUAAUGACUACGUGUAGUCAGAUGCCCGUACCUUAUGAAUAAGCAUCGGCUAACUCCGUGCCAGCAGCCGCGGUAAUACGGAGGAUGCGAGCGUUAUCCGGAUUUAUUGGGUUUAAAGGGUGCGUAGGCGGUAUUUUAAGUUAGUGGUAAAACGUCGGGGCUUCACCUUGAUUGGCCAUUAAAACUGGAGUAC
rnacentral:rRNA from 1 species